GAAAGAAGCGAGGAAAAAUCAUAAAAAGAGACGGAGCGAGCCAAAAGAAGAGGAAGAAAAUGAAGAUGAAGAUGAAGGAGAAGGGAAAGAGAAUCGACGAUACUCGCGGGAGAAUACCGAGAGACGAGAAAUAUAAGAGAGGAGUUUUGUUGCUGGGCUUCGGUGUAACCGAGAUCGUGCUACUACUCCCAUUAGCUCUGGCCAUAACAGCUCGGAGCUUCGUCAGGAAAGAGAGAGAGAGAGAGGGGGGGGGGAGACUUCGCCUCCGGUCUCUUGGGUGCGUGAGCUCAAGAUCCGUGACGAACACUCCGAGAGUCGAGGAGCAAUUUUAGUGGGUUAUACAUUCGGAGAAUUUUCCAAGUAAAAAGCGUGAGUGUACCUUCGAUGGUGGCUGGGGUAGGCGAGGAGGCGUCGCCAGGAGUGAGUAUAGUGGUGCCGGGAUUGCGCCAGUACUGUCGUUAUGAAAGUGUCGCGUGGGCGAGGAUAGCUCAGCGCUGCUGGUGACCUCGGGACUGGAUUCUUGAAGUCCAACGAUUCGACCGCCCCAGCGUCGCUUGACUCCCGCCAUUGGGACUCGGGGUACGGUCUGAAGCAUCGUAACCUC